UCCUUGGAAAGAAUUUCCUUGCAUAUAGAGAUAUUCCAAAAGUAAACAAGACCCAAUGCUUGUAGGAAUUUCUCCAUAAAGCAUGUUUUCUGAGACAUCCAGUGUAUUUAUAUUUGUUAGCUUUCCCACGUCUUCUGGCAGGUAGCCGGAUAACGAAUUCUGAGAUAAGUUUAAGUAUAAAGACAAGGAAGGAAGAUGGAGAACCUCCAAUAUAGAUCCACUGAAAUUAUUUCCUGAGAUAUCCAAAUACUGCAAAUUCUGACAAUUUUUUAUGCUUUUUGGAAUAUUUCCCUCCAGAUUGUUUCCUUGGAUCUCAAGUAGAGACAAUUGAGUGAGAUUGCCUAUAG
rnacentral:misc_RNA from 1 species